CUUUAAUUCUAAAAUUGUAGUAUUUUUGUCUUAAAAUGUAAUAUGUUCAUAUUUCGAAAACUAGAACUGCUAUAGAAAAACUGAAUACAGAUUUGGAAUCAGCGUGGCAAAAUUAUACAAAUUCUGUUAAGAAACUUAAUAGAACAAAAGUGCUGUUCUUCACUGUGGGCUGUCAGAGGAUUCGAAGUAUCUUAUAUAACAAUAAAGUAAAUUAAAUUUAAAGUACAAAUAUAAAGAGUGUUGCAUACUCCACAUCUCAUAUUUUAUCAAAUUUUAAUCGAUUACUCUUUUUUGCUACAAUAACGUUAUUUAAAUAUGCGAAACGUACCUAUAGGUAAUUUUUUUCUAUCCUUGAAACAUAUUAACGCCAUCUGUCGGUAAUACUGAAAUUUAUUCGUCAUCAUAAUAACACCCGGAAAGAAUUUCUAAAAUUGUAUGUAUGAUAUGAUUUAGAGAAAAACGUUGUAGUUAUGUCAAUUGUCAAAAUUAAUGGCCGGGACUAGAGUGGUAAUUCAUAAUUAUAUUCGUGCGAUUUGCCAAAAUAUAACUAUAUGUCAUUCAUUUGAAGUGUAAACAACAAUAUUUCACUGAAACACGACGAAUUUUGUGCCUGAAAAACUGUUUUUGCGAGGAGUUUUUCUUCAUUAAUUUUAUAUAUAGAAAACCUCAGCGGAAAGUCAUCGUAUUUUGAUAGAAUCAUGGUGAAUAUGGAUUGGAAGGCGAAGAACGUCCUAGGCGGAAAAUGUUUCGCUGAAUCGAUUUCAGCAUUACGGAGAGUUGUGUCGUUUUCAAGAUGAUUAUAUUUGCAAUAUUUUUGAACAAAAACGCCCUAAAGUUUUAUCUAGUCAAGAGGCACAAAUCUCGAACUUUUUUCGCGAAUCAAGAACAAAUUGCAAUUGGUAUUUUUAGUAUUCAUUUUUAAUCACCAGCGAAACCUGAUAAUGCAAAGCUGAAGAAAACAAGCAAGAAGUGUUUGAACGAAAUGUUUUGCGCAGAAUUUUUAGAGCUACGAGUAUUUGUAAUGAUGGCUUAUGGAAAAAGCGGUAUAACCACGAGCAUUCCGAUAUUGUAAUAACAAUUAAAUUAAACACGCAACGAACAGAUGCAGAAAUAACAGAAGCAGAAGUACACCACAGCUGGACUAAUGGUGUGGCCCAGGACGCUGAAGUGCUGGAACUACGAUGCUGGACAGAAAUAAUUUGCGAGUUAAAUUGCAGUAAGCGAAGACUGGGUUGUGGAGUUGAUGAUGAUGAUGAACUAACAAAACUGAAAUUUUUUUCCUAUAAAAUGGCGGCUACUCAAAAAUAAAGGGAGAAUGAUAUCAAAUAUCAAUAAAUAAUGACGGAAGUAGUUUCGAGAAAAUCUCUUUUAAUGUCUCUUUACUGGUAAGACUAAAUCGGUCAACUCAUGACACUAAAACGGCUACAAUUUUGAAAAUAAAUCAAAUUUGAAAAAUUCUUUUAAGGAUUGUUUUUUGAAUAACUAAAUUAACCAAAUGUGA